AGUGAACGCUGGCGGUAGGCCUAACACAUGCAAGUCGAACGGCAGCACAGUAAGAGCUUGCCCUUACGGGUGGCGAGUGGCGGACGGGUGAGGAAUACAUCAGAAUCUACUUUUUCGUGGGGGAUAACGUAGGGAAACUUACGCUAAUACCGCAUACGACCUACGGGUGAAAGCAGGGGAUCUUCGGACCUUGCGCGAUUGAAUGAGCCGAUGUCGGAUUAGCUAGUUGGCGGGGUAAAGGCCCACCAAGGCGACGAUCCGUAGCUGGUCUGAGAGGAUGAUCAGCCACACUGGAACUGAGACACGGUCCAGACUCCUACGGGAGGCAGCAGUGGGGAAUAUUGGACAAUGGGCGCAAGCCUGAUCCAGCCAUACCGCGUGGGUGAAGAAGGCCUUCGGGUUGUAAAGCCCUUUUGUUGGGAAAGAAAAGCAGCAGGUUAAUACCCCGCUGUUCUGACGGUACCCAAAGAAUAAGCACCGGCUAACUUCGUG
rnacentral:rRNA from 1 species